rnacentral:rRNA from 1 species
GACGAACGCUGGCGGCGUGCUUAACACAUGCAAGUCGAACGGAAAGGCCCCUUUGGGGGUCCUCGAGUGGCGAACGGGUGAGUAACACGUGAGUAACCUGCCCUUGACUUCGGGAUAACUUCAGGAAACUGGGGCUAAUACCGGAUAGGAAUCCUUGCUGCAUGGUGGGGGUUGGAAAGCUUCGGCGGUUUUGAAUGGACUCGCGGCUUAUCAGCUUGUUGGUGGGGUAGUGGCUUACCAAGGCUUUGACGGGUAGCCGGCCUGAGAGGGCGACCGGCCACAUUGGGACUGAGAUACGGCCCAGACUCCUACGGGAGGCAGCAGGGGGGAAUAUUGCACAAGGGGCGGAAGCCGGAUGCAGCAACGCCGCGUGCGGGAGGACGGCCUUCGGGUUGGAAACCGCUUUCAGCAGGGGCGAAGCUUGUGGUGACGGUACCUGCAGAAGAAGCACCGGCUAACUACGUG